CCCAGUGACGGCCCCGUGGGGCAGGGACACAGCCUGGCCUCUGGGGAGCUCAAUCUGGGUCUCGGGCUGUACUUUUUUCUAAGCCACUGGAGCUCAUCCACUUGGGACAUGGAGACUCCUGACAACGACCCCGUCGGGGUGCUGCCACGGGGCAAACCUCUGCCCGCCUGCAGGCCUCUGACUGUGCCAGCUGGGCCAAGCACUGGACUGAGUGAUGCACCUCCUGUGUUGGCGUGGAGACGGGACAGGCAACUCCAGAUGCACAGGGUAUGGGGCCAGCCCCCUCGAGGGCUCGCUGUGGCUCCUGUCCCUGGACAGGGGCACCGCUGACCAGGAGACUUGAGCUUUCAUUAUUUUUAGGACACAAACCUGGUUUUCCUUCUGCUGCCGUUUGGGCUCCGGGGGGCAGGUGGAAAUGGGGAGUCAGUCACUUUUCUUAGGGAUGUUUUCCUGGGCUCUGGCUAUUUGUACAUUAUAUAAAUAUAUCGGGGGGGGGGUGGGUGGGACGGACAGGGCUCAGGCAAUGGCUGCAGGAAUUUGUCCUCAGUCCUAGGGGUGGGGGUGGGGGUGUCAGCUGGUGUAAUUAUUUAAAAAAGAUGGUAUUUUUUUAAGCAAAAGAUGAAAAAAAUGCAAAAAAACCCCCAACCAAACAAAACGGUCUGACCUGAUCUUUUUUGACAAAUGGUUUUGCAGCGUCUUGUAUCGAGGAUGGAAAAAAAAUCAAUAAAACAGAGAAUUUGUAGUGGA